CACCAAGUCCGCGGUUCCGGUGCUCACCGGAGCCUGGUGCAAAAGGGA
rnacentral:sRNA from 1 species